UACGGAGGGGGCGAGCGUUAUUCGGAAUUAUUGGGAGUAAAGGGCGCGUAGGCGGCUGGACAAGUCAAAGGUGAAAUCCCUCGGCUCAACUGAGGAACUGCCUUUGAAACUGUCCGGCUUGAGGCCGGGAGGGGGUAGCGGAAUUCCCAGUGUAGCGGUGAAAUGCGUAGAUAUUGGGAGGAACACCAGUGGCGAAGGCGGCUACCUGGACCGGUUCUGACGCUGAUGCGCGAAAGCGUGGGUAGCAAACAGG
rnacentral:rRNA from 1 species